AGCGAACGCUGGCGGCAGGCUUAACACAUGCAAGUCGAGCGGGCACUUUCGGGUGUCAGCGGCGGACGGGUGAGUAACGCGUGGGAACGUGCCCUCUGGUUCGGAAUAACUCAGGGAAACUUGAGCUAAUACCGGAUACGCCCUUUUGGGGAAAGGCUUGCUGCCGGAGGAUCGGCCCGCGUCUGAUUAGCUAGUUGGUGAGGUAACGGCUCACCAAGGCGACGAUCAGUAGCUGGUCUGAGAGGAUGAUCAGCCACACUGGGACUGAGACACGGCCCAGACUCCUACGGGAGGCAGCAGUGGGGAAUAUUGGACAAUGGGCGCAAGCCUGAUCCAGCCAUGCCGCGUGAGUGAUGAAGGCCUUAGGGUUGUAAAGCUCCUUUAUCCGGGACGAUAAUGACGGUACCGGAGGAAUAAGCCCCGGCUAACUUCGUG
rnacentral:rRNA from 1 species